rnacentral:rRNA from 1 species
CCUACGGGAGGCAGCAGUGAGGAAUAUUGGUCAAUGGUCGGGAGACUGAACCAGCCAAGCCGCGUGAGGGAUGAAGGUACAGAGUAUCGUAAACCUCUUUUGUCAGGGAACAAAGGCGGGGACGUGUCCCCGGAUGAGUGUACCUGAAGAAAAAGCAUCGGCUAACUCCGUGCCAGCAGCCGCGGUAAUACGGAGGAUGCGAGCUUUAUCCGGAUUUAUUGGGUUUAAAGGGUGCGCAGGCGGUCUGUUAAGUCAGCGGUAAAAGCCCGGGGCGCAACCCCGACCCGCCGUUGAAACUGGCAGUCUCGAGUUGGAGAGAAGUAUGCGGAAUGCGCGGUGUAGCGGUGAAAUGCAUAGAGAUCGCGCAGAACUCCGAUUGCGAAGGCAGCAUGCCGGCUCCACACUGACGCUGAGGCACGAAAGCGUGGGUAUCGAACAGGAUUAGAUACCCUAGUAGUC